rnacentral:rRNA from 1 species
CAGCAGCCGCGGUAAUACGUAGGGUGCGAGCGUUAAUCGGAUUUACUGGGCGUAAAGCGUGCGCAGGCGGCCCGUUAAGACAGGUGUGAAAUCCCUGGGCUCGACCUAGGAAUUGCGCUUGUGACUGGCGGGCUCGAGUACGGUAGAGGGGGGUGGAAUUCCUGGUGUAGCAGUGAAAUGCGUAGAGAUCAGGAGGAACACCGAUGGCGAAGGCAGCCCCCUGGGCCUGUACUGACGCUCAUGCACGAAAGCGUGGGGAGCAAACAGGAUUAGAUACCCUGGUAGUCCACGCCCUAAACGAUGGGUACUAGCCGUUUGGUGCGCGAUAGCGCUGAGUGGCGAAGCUAACGCGUGAAGUACCCCGCCUGGGGAGUACGGCCGCAAGGUUGAAACUUAAAGGAAUUGGCGGG